CCUACGGGAGGCAGCAGUAAGGAAUAUUGGUCAAUGGACGCAAGUCUGAACCAGCCAUGCCGCGUGCAGGAUGAAGGCCCUCUGGGUUGUAAACUGCUUUUAUAGGGGACGAAAAAGGGACUUUCUAGUUCAACUGACGGUACCCUAGGAAUAAGCACCGGCUAACUCCGUGCCAGCAGCCGCGGUAAUACGGAGGGUGCAAGCGUUAUCCGGAUUUACUGGGUUUAAAGGUGCGUAGGUGGGUCGGUAAGUCAGCGGUGAAAUCUUCGAGCUUAACUCGGAAACUGCCAUUGAUACUAUCGAUCUUGAAUCAUCUGGAGGUAAGCGGAAUAUGUCAUGUAGCGGUGAAAUGCUUAGAUAUGACAUAGAACACCAAUUGCGAAGGCAGCUUACUACGGAUGUAUUGACACUGAGGCACGAAAGCGUGGGGAUCAAACAGGAUUAGAUACCCUGGUAGUCCACGCCCUAAACGAUGGAUACUCGACAUACGUAGAUAUAUAUAGUGUGUNUGNGNGAGAGAUAGUAUACCACCGCGGUAAGGUAG
rnacentral:rRNA from 1 species